rnacentral:rRNA from 1 species
CCUACGGGAGGCAGCAGUGAGGAAUAUUGGUCAAUGGGCGGGAGCCUGAACCAUCCCCGCCGCUUUCUUGCCGCCUUUCCCUCUUCUCUUCCCCCUCUUUUGUCAGGGAACAAAGGCGGGGACUAGUCCCCGGAUGAGGGUACCUGAAGAAAAAGCAUCGGCUAACUCCGUGCCAGCAGCCGCGGUAAUACGGAGGAUGCGAGCGUUAUCCGGAUUUAUUGGGUUUAAAGGGUGCGCAGGCGGCCUGUUAAGUCAGCGGUAAAAGCCCGGGGCUCAACCCCGGCGAGCCGUUGAAACUGGCGGGCUGGAGUUGGAGAGAAGUACGCGGAAGGCGCGGUGUAGCGGUGAAAUGCUUAGAUAUCGCGCAGAACCCCGAUUGCGAAGGCAGCGUACCGGCUCCACACUGACGCUGAGGCACGAAAGCGUGGGUAUCGAACAGGAUUAGAUACCCCGGUAGUC